UGAAGUUCACAUUUCACAAAUCCUUCACCGCUUCUCUACGCUCAGUCGCUCACGAUUUGAGGUUUCACUCUCCGUCCCUCAGACUCUCAGUCCCAACUCCCCUCAUUGUCCCCGCUCCCUCUGCCCUCUGUGCACCUGCGCUGCGUUGAGCCGCUGUCGUCGACACGUCGUUGCGGCCGGUGGCCCUACCUCUGCCUCCCUCCCCUGUCCUCAAAAGCACUAGCAGGAAGCAGCUAAGGAUCUAAAGUAUACCUCGCCGUCUCGCCAAUCCCCUUGCCGAUUUUAUUAGACCUCCAAGGAACCGUAGCUAGCUUACAAUGGGGCUCGGAUUAAACUUUUUGAAAUGAUAAACAAAGCUGGUGAGCCACCAGCUAUUAUGCUUGUUAUUUUUGGGUUGUAAAAUAUUAACAUGUAGUUUUUAUAUAUGUAUCUGAGAACAGUUAGAACUCUGGUAAUAUGAUUGAGGUAUUUUCUUUUGCUGUAUGAUUGUAUUAUCAGUUACAAUAGAAAAACCCAGUUUUCCCUAGUUAGGGCGGGCGGUGA